rnacentral:rRNA from 1 species
AUGAACGCUGGCGGCGUGCCUAAUACAUGCAAGUCGAGCGAACAGACGAGGAGCUUGCUCCUCUGACGUUAGCGGCGGACGGGUGUGUAACACGUGGAUAACCUACCUAUAAGACUGGGAUAACUUCGGGAAACCGGAGCUAAUACCGGAUAAUAUAUUGAACCGCAUGGUUCAAUAGUGAAAGACGGUUUUGCUGUCACUUAUAGAUGGAUCCGCGCCGCAUUAGCUAGUUGGUAAGGUAACGGCUUACCAAGGCAACGAUGCGUAGCCGACCUGAGAGGGUGAUCGGCCACACUGGAACUGAGACACGGUCCAGACUCCUACGGGAGGCAGCAGUAGGGAAUCUUCCGCAAUGGGCGAAAGCCUGACGGAGCAACGCCGCGUGAGUGAUGAAGGUCUUCGGAUCGUAAAACUCUGUUAUUAGGGAAGAACAAAUGUGUAAGUAACUAUGCACGUCUUGACGGUACCUAAUCAGAAAGCCACGGCUAACUACGUG